AGGCUGCAACCCGCCUACAUGAAGUUGGAAUUGCUAGUAAUCGCGAAUCAGAAUGUCGCGGUGAAUACGUUCCCGGGCCUUGUACACACCGCCCGUCACACCAUGAGAGUCGAUAACACCCGAAGCCUGUGAGCUAACCGCAAGGGGGCAGCAGUCGAAGGUGGGGUUGAUGAUUGGGGUGAAGUCGUAACAAGGUAGC
rnacentral:rRNA from 1 species